rnacentral:lncRNA from 1 species
UUUAUUUAUUUAUUUAUUUAUUGAGACAGAGUCUCACUCUGUCGCCCAGGCUGGAGUGCAGUGGCGCAGUGUCGGCUCACUGCAACCUCUGCCUCCCGGGUUCAAGCGAUUCUCCUGCCUCAGCCUCCCGAGUAGCUGGGAUUACAGGCGCCUGCUACCAGACGCAGCUGAUUUUUGUAUUUUAAGUACAGCUGGGGUUUCAUCAUGUUGGUCAGGCUGGUCUCAAACUCCUGACCUCGUGAUCCGCCCGCCUCAGCCUCCUAAAGUGCUGGGAUUACAGGCGUGAGCCACCUUGUCCGGCCCUGAAGCUUAUAGUUUUUAAUAUUCUAUAAUUCCUGAAGUUUUCAUAGUCUGCCUCUUUGCUUCUUAUUUUUCAGGAAACAAGUUAGUAACUGAGGGGAAAAGCACCACGAUCUCCCGGUGCGUUGUUUGCAAGAGUGCUUCAGCAGUCAGUGUCUUUCUUGUUGUUUGCCAGAUAAAGAUAUUUUGUCUGCAUAUCUGCAUAGCUUAACAGUAACUCAGGUGCUGACGUAGAAGUAAAGCAUGUGAGAAUGCUUUUGGAUCAUACACUUUUCACAUAAUAACAAAUUUUUCUCGAAUUGGUUUAACAGUAUCGUUUUAUGCUUUUUAAAAUGUAUCUUUGAUAUGAGUUGUUUGUCAUUUGCACAAGUUAAUGAUUUUACCUCCCCAGCUGCAACAUAUUUUUCAAAUUUAGGAACCCAACUUAACCAUCUGAACAUCCUUCUUAAAAAAAAUAAAGAAGAAAGCUCACAACUA